UGGACUGUCAGACAGAUCACUCUCUAUAGACUCUGAAACCCAAGCAACCGAUGAGGGUUACCAGCGGCGAGUGACUGUGGAUGACGAGGACAGCACAAUUUUAGUGUAUGACAACUGGAAACAGAAUUUCUUAUAGUGCUUGCAAGGUGGGAGUGUGUUAUGAUGCACAUUAAAUUGUGAUUGGUCUUGCCUUCCCUGUGUAUACGUAAACCUGUACUGCUGCAGAUUCUUGUAUUCAUCUGACGGAAAACAAGAUGCAUACUUAUUGUCAUGACAACA